rnacentral:lncRNA from 1 species
UGUCCCGAUCUUUCGAUGAGAUGAUAACUAUCGAUUUGGUGGAGACGACUUUGACGAUCCGACUACAAACGUGCAACGACGUUGUGCCUUAGCAAUCGCUAAACCAACUCCGAGAGGUUAUUGACCACACCGGAGCACGAUCAACCUGACCACGAAGGUCUAUUCCUGCAAGCAAUCGAAGAACAAGCAAGAAUAUGAUAAAAGCAAUCUGAAUAUCGCGAAUAUGUAUGAAGUAUUGAUAAUGGUGGGGAUCCGAAAAGUGGUCUUGGUCUGGUCGUUGGACACAAACGAAGCACACGAAGUUGCAAUGGCUAACUUUUAACUAAACAAAUCCCAAGGAAAAGCUACUAGAUGGAUCUACUUAUAUAGGAGCAAGGGGUGGCGGCCAAGGAGGUGGGAGGACGUCCCAAGGCAGCCUAAAACUAAAUCUAGGUCGUACAAGGCCAAUGGGCCCAAGUGGAGGUGAUGUAACACCUUUGGACUUGUAGUUUGACUCGGAUUCUGCUGCAGCAUCAGAUUGUUUCGUCCACAACUCAACGCUCCGGACGAAUUUGAAGGUGAUUCCAAUUGGGUUGGAAAGUGCACGACAUCUAGUUUCCAAAAAAAAAGAAUCACCCAAUUCGGAGUCCGUAUGAAAAACUUGUGUGCGUUUUGAGUCAGGUGUGUCUGUGCAGUCCGAAUCUGAAUCCAGAACGUGAGAGACUUGGACUCUAUCUUCUCUUGGGCCAAAAGUGACGUGAGAGAACUUUUUGGACAGCAAAUAAACAUCUCUUUCUUCCUUAUCUUCAUAUGUGGAUUGUACAAAUGUCCCAUACACCUGCAAUUAGACAAAACACAAAAGUGUGUGAAGUAUUUUUGUUCUGGAUAACAUAAAUAGAUUAUUGAAUAGUUUGCACUAGAAAUCACCUGACAAAUAUGCAUAUAUGCAAUAUUUUUGGUCAUAUCCAAGGUAGUCAUGUCCUCAUCAUCCUCCCCUUCUUGAAAAUAAAGCCGUCCUCGGCGUUGCUUAAUCUGAAAUGUGGCUAACAAAAAAGACAAGGUGUACAUGUUGUAUAUGUAUAUGUCAUCCAUUUUUACUUCCCUUGAUUUUUGCAUAUAUGACACAUGAAUAGAUGAGUAACUUGUAUAGUUCAUAAAAUCUAAAGCCAAAAAAUUAGCACAAGAAGUAGAAGGCAUGAAAAUAUUGCAACUCAGUUUGCACAUAUAAGUGAAGCUCUUAUUCAUUUCAAAAGAUUGACAAUGUUCAUCAUUAAACCAUCCCAACAUUGGUGAAUAAACCUUACUUGCAUCAAAUUUACAUGCUACAACAUGCUUAAAUAAGCAAACAUGCAAUAAGUCAUUCAACACAGAAUCAUCACCAAGAUUAGAGGUCAUAUCAAAAUGAUUAAACAUUGGUUCUUUUGCAUCAAUAGUUAAUUCAAUGGGUGCACUCAAAAUUGUUGGUAUUUCAGUUGUUUGAUCACAUGGCAAAGUCAAAUUAUCAACGUAGUCCUCUAAAAUAGGUGGUGUGAUCAAAGUAGUGCGUAGCUCAUCAGAUGGUGUGAUAGAGGCAAAGGUGUCCCGUCUUUCGAUGAGAUGAUGGAUUUCGCUUUGGUGGAAGUCGACUUUGACGAUCCGACUACGAACGUGCGAGGACGUCGCGCCUUAGCAAUCGCUAAACCAACUCCGAGAGGUUAUUGACCACGCCGGAGCACGAUCAACCUGACCACGAGGGUCUGUUUCCUGCGAGCAAACGAAGAACAAGCAAGAAACUGAGAUUGCAAUCUGGAUAUUGCGAAUAUAAGAUGAAAGCUUUAUUGAUCAAGGUGGGGUUCUGUGACGCCUUUGUCUGGUCGUUGAACACAAACGAAGUACGCGAAGUUGCAGCUAUGGCGAACUUUUAAUCUAAACAAAACCCAAAGUCUAAACGAUGCCCUAAGGGCUGUAUAUAUGGAGGAAGAGGGGGGAAAUUUCGUGGCCCUUGGUGGAGGGGUCCGAAAUCAACCCUAUCUCUUGUUUCCCCACACAUACGGACUCUAAAAAUAGCCUAUACUUAUGUAUUUCGAAAUUACAUGGGCCUGGCCCAAUAAUAAGGUGACGCAGCACCUAAAAUAGCCUCGGAACGAAAUUUAUGAAGUGGCAUCUUGUAUAUUUCGUCCAAGGCUUCAUGCACCCAUUAUGGUGGCUUCAAAGUCCUGAAAUCAUCACUUGUAACUCCGUUCUUGUUCUUGCUCCAAUGUUCAUCCUUCUCCAAGCUAGGCCCUUCAUUUGUAAGCAAAACAAAUGUAUCCAAUUUAGGCAGCAUCAUAUUCUCAUGAACAUUAGAAUCAUUACCAAGAAACGAAAGUACCGGGUAGUUUAGUUGGCGUGCACGAGCUCUAGUAAUUGGUCCAGUAUGUAUAGCAGCAGGGGCUGUGGGUGUAACAAUUGUAUUGAUGUCCUCAUCAUCCUCCCCUUCUUGAAAUGAAGUCGUCCUCGACGGAAGUUCAUCUUCCUCACCCAAAUAAGGCUUCAAAUCUGCAAUGUUAAAAGUGGGACUAACCCCAAAAUCUGCAGGCAGCUCAAGUUUAUAUGCAUUAUCAUUUAUUUUCUCUAACACCUUAAAGGGACCAUCAGCACGUGGCAUUAACUUUGAUUUGCGCAAAUCAGGAAAUCUAUCCUUACGCAAAUGUAACCAAACAAGAUCUCCAGGUGCAAACAUAACAUGUUUUCUACCCUUAUCUCCAGCAAGUUUAUAUUUAGCAUUCAUACGCUCAAUGUUUUCCUUAGUUAACUCAUGCAUUUUUAAAAUCAAUUCAGCACGUUGUUUAGCAUCAAAAUUAACCUUCUCCGAAGAUGGAAGAGGCAACAAAUCAAUAGGUGCACGAGGUAGGAAACCAUACACAACUUCAAAAGGGCACAUCUUAGUAGUAGAAUGCAAUGAACGAUUAUAAGCAAAUUCAAUAUGAGGCAAGCAUUCCUCCCACAUUUUCUUAUUAUUCUUCAAAACAGCCCUAAGCAUAGUAGACAACGUUCUAUUGACUACUUCAGUUUGUCCAUCAGUUUGGGGGUGACAAGUAGUACUAAAAAGCAGUUUAGUCCCCAACUUAGCCCAUAAACAUCUCCAAAAAUGGCUAAGAAAUUUAGUAUCACGAUCUGAAACAAUAGUAUUUGGCACACCAUGCAAGCGAAUAAUUUCACGAAAGAACAAAUCAGCAACAUUAACAGCAUCAUCGCUUUUAUGACAUGGUAUAAAGUGUGCGAUUUUCGAGAAUCUAUCCACGACAACAAAUAUGCUAUCCCUCCCCUUCUUUGUUCGAGGUAAACCUAAAACAAAGUCCAUAGAUAUAUCCUCCCAAGGAACACUAGGUACAGGCAAAGGCAUAUAUAAACCAUGAGGAUUGAGUCGUGACUUAGCUUUUUGACAUGUAGUGCAUCGAGCAAUAAAACGCUCAACAUCCCGUCUCAUCUUUGGCCAAAAGAAAUGUGUAGCAAGUACGUCCUCCGUCUUCUUCACGCCAAAAUGUCCCAUUAAUCCUCCUCCAUGCGCUUCCUGCAACAACAAAAGACGAACGGAGCUAGCUGGAAUGCAUAGCUUGUUAGCACGAAACACAAAUCCAUCGUUAACGACAAACUUGUUCCACAUUCUUCCUUCUUUACAAUUCUGCAUUACAUCUUUAAAAUCAGCAUCAUGCACAUAUUGAUCUUUGAUGGUCUCCAAACCAAAUAUUUUGAAGUCAAGUUGUGAAAGCAUAGUAUAGCGACGAGACAAUGCAUCAGCAAUAACAUUUUCUUUUCCCUUCUUGUGUUUAAUGACAUAAGGGAAAGUCUCAAUGAAUUCAACCCAUUUAGCAUGUCUACGAUUCAGUUUAGCUUGACUUUUAAUAUGUUUCAAAGAUUCAUGAUCAGAAUGUAUAACAAAUUCUUUGGGCCAUAAACAAGUCCGAACAAGAGCAUAUAAUUCUUUAUCAUAAGUAGAAUAAUUCAGACUAGGCCCACUCAAUUUUUUAGAAAAGUAUGCAACAGUUUUACCAUCUUGUAAUAACACACCUCCUAAUCCAAUUCCACUAGCAUCACAUUCAAGCUCAAAAGUCUUAUUAAAAUCAGGAAGUUGGAGUAAAGGAGCAUGUGUCAACUUAUCUUUCAAUACCGUGAAGGCUUCUUCCUGUGCGGUACCCCAAAGAAAAGGCACAUCCUUCUUUGUAAGUUCGUUGAGAGGUGCAACAAUGGUGCUGAAAUCUCUCACAAAACGCCUAUAGAAUCCAGCGAGGCCAAGAAAACUCCUCACUUGUGUGACCGUUUUGGGUUGUGGCCAACUCUCAAUAGCAAGGAAACACGAAUCGGAAUCUACUUUCGUUUCUUGGUAAUGAUUCUAAUGUUCAUGAGAAUAUGAUGCUGCCUAAAUUGGAUACAUUUGUUUUGCUUACAAAUGAAGGGCCUAGCUUGGAGAAGGAUGAACAUUGGAGCAAGAACAAGCAUGGAGAUGAUGGCAUGCGCAAGGGGAACAAGAACGGAGUUACAAGUGAUGAUUUCAGGACUUUGAAGCCACCAUAAUGGGUGCAUGAAGCCUUGGACGAAAUAUACAAGAUGCCACUUCAUAAAUUUCGUCCCGAGGCUAUUUUAGGUGCUGCGUCACCUUAUUAUUGGGCCAGGCCCAUGUAAUUUCGAAAUACAUAACUAUAGGCUAUUUUUAGAGUCCGUAUGUGUGGGGAAACAAGAGAUAGGGUUGAUUUCGGACCCCUCCACCAAGGGCCACGAAAUUCCCCCCUCUUCCUCCAUAUAUACAGCCCUUAGGGCAUCGUUUAGACUUUGGGUUUUGUUUAGAUUAAAAGUUCGCCAUAGCUGCAACUUCGCGUACUUCGUUUGUGUUCAACGACCAGACAAAGGCGUCACAGAACCCCACCUUGAUCAAUAAAGCUUUCAUCUUAUAUUCGCAAUAUCCAGAUUGCAAUCUUAGUUUCUUGCUUGUUCUUCGUUUGCUCGCAGGAAACAGACCCUCGUGGUCAGGUUGAUCGUGCUCCGGCGUGGUCAAUAACCUCUCGGAGUUGGUUUAGCGAUUGCUAAGGCGCGACGUCCUCGCACGUUCGUAGUCGGAUCGUCAAAGUCGACUUCCACCAAAGCGAAAUCCACCAUCUCAUCGAAAGACGGGACACCUCCGCCUCUAUCAAUCUUACUUGGGAGUUAGAAACUGAACAACGAUUUACAUGUUUACAAUAUCCUGAGGAGAGACGAGUUGCUGCUGCCGUUUGUGCUUUCACUAGUUUUGCAUGUGUAUGGUGGUCUGAACAUUGUAGAUUAUAUCCUAUUCCAACUACUUGGGCUGCUUUGAAAACUGCUAUGCGUACGCGUUGGGUUCCACCAUAUUAUCAACGUGAAUUGCUUCAAAAAUUGCAGCGUUUAAGACAAGGGAAAAAUUCUGUAGAAGAAUAUUAUCAGGAAUUACAAACUGGCAUGAUUAGAUGUGGUAUUGUUGAGGAGAAUGAAGCUAUGCUUGCACGUUUUCUGGGUGGAUUAAAUAGAGAGAUUCAGACCAUUCUAGACUAUAAGGAGUAUACUAAUAUCACUCGUUUAUUUCAUCUUGCUUGUAAAGCUGAACGUGAAGUGCAGGAUCGACAAGCAUUGGGGCGAACUAACUUUUCUGCAGGCCGACCUUCAUCAUGGACACCACGUGCAUCUUCUACUUCAACUGCACCAGCACCUCCAUCCGGUGCCACCUCCAGCCGUGAUACAAGAAAACAGGCACAACCACCAUUAUCUGCCAAGAGCACACCUGCGGGGCCUGCACAGCGUUCUUCUUCUUCCAUGGCAUCAACAGGGCACACAAGUGAUAUUAUUUGUCGCCGUUGUAAGGGAGGAGGUCAUUAUGCGAGGGAAUGCAAAUCUCCGCGUGUGAUGAUUGCUACUGCGGAUGGUGGAUAUGAGUCCGCUAGUGACUAUGAUGAGGAGACAUUGGCUCUUAUUACACGUGAAGAACAUGGUGGAGAUGAUUCUGAUCAUGAGACGCAAUACAUGGCUCCUGAAGACGCUGACAGGUAUGAAUGUUUAGUUGCUCAACGUGUUUUGAGUGUGCAGGUCACACAAGCUGAGCAAAAUCAGAGGCACAAUUUGUUCCAUACCAAGGGAGUUGUGAAGGAACGUUCUGUGCGCGUCAUAAUAGACGGAGGGAGCUGCAACAACUUGGCUAGCAUGGAGAUGGUGGAGAAGCUUUCUCUCACCACACGACCACAUCCACAUCCUUACUACAUCCAAUGGUUCAACAACAGCGGCAAGGUUAAGGUAACACGUACUGUUCGUGUGCAUUUUAGUAUCUCUACAUAUGCUGAUUAUGUUGAUUGUGAUGUGGUACCUAUGCAAGCAUGUUCCUUAUUACUUGGUAGACCUUGGCAAUUUGAUAAAAAUUCUGUACACCAUGGUAGAAACAAUCACUAUACUCUUGUUCAUAAGGAUAAAAAUAUUACUUUGCUUCCUAUGACUCCUGAUUCCAUUUUGAAAGAUGAUAUUAAUAGAGCUAAUAAAGCAAAACAUGAGACGAAUAAGAGUGAAAAUCAGAUUGUGGCAAAAGAAUUUGAGCAACAAAUGAAGCCUAAUAAUAAACCAUCUAGUGUUGCUUCUGAAAUUAAAUUGAAAAGUGCAUGUUUAUUUGCCACCAAAUCUGAUAUUGAUGAGCUAGAUUUCAGCAAAUCUGUUUGCUAUGCUUUUGUGUGCAAAGAGGCAUUAUUUUCAUUCGAGGACGUGCCUUCCUCUUUGCCUCCUGCUGUCACUAACAUUUUGCAGGAGUUCGCUGACGUCUUUCCACAAGACGUGCCACCGGGAUUACCGCCUAUUCGAGGGAUUGAGCAUCAAAUUGACUUAAUUCCCGGUGCUUCACUGCCAAACCGUGCACCAUACCGUACCAAUCCAGAGGAGACGAAGGAGAUUAUGCGUCAAGUACUACUUGAUAGAGACGAGGGUCCCGAUCUUUCGAUGAGAUGAUAACUAUCGAUUUGAUGGAGACGACUUUCACGAUCCGACUACAAAUGUGCACGACGUUGCACCUUAGCAAUCGCUAAACCGAUCUCCUGAGGUUACUGACGAUGCUGGAAGCACGGUCAGCCUGACCACGAAGGUCUAUUCCUGCAAGCAAUCGAAGAACGAGCAAGAAUAUGAUAAAGCAAUCUGAAUAUUGCAAAUAUAUAUGAAGUAUUGAUAAUGGUGGGGAUCCGGAAGCGGUCUUGGUCUGGUCGUUGGACACAAACGAAGUACACGAAGUUGCAAUGGCUAACUUUUAACUAAACAAAUCCCAAAGUCUAAACGAUGCCCUAAGGGCUGUAUAUAUGGAGGAAGAGGGGGGGAAUUUCGUGGCCCUUGGUGGAGGAGUCCGAAAUCAACCCUAUCUCUUGUUUCCCCACACAUACGGACUCUAAAAAUAGCCUAUACUUAUGUAUUUCGAAAUUACAUGGGCCUGGCCCAAUAAUAAGGUGACGCAGCACCUAAAAUAGCCUCGGGACGAAAUUUAUGAAGUGGCAUCUUGUAUAUUUCGUCCAAGGCUUCAUGCACCCAUUAUGGUGGCUUCAAAGUCCUGAAAUCAUCACUUGUAACUCCGUUCUUGUUCCCCUUGCGCAUGCCAUCAUCUCCAUGCUUGUUCUUGCUCCAAUGUUCAUCCUUCUCCAAGCUAGGCCCUUCAUUUGUAAACAAAACAAAUGUAUCCAAUUUAGGCAGCAUCAUAUUCUCAUGAACAUUAGAAUCAUUACCAAGAAACGAAAGUACCUGGUAAUUUAGUUGGCGUGCACGAGCUCUAGUAAUUGGUCCAGUAUGUAUAGUAGCAGGGGCUGUGGGUGUAACAAUUGUAUUGAUGUCCUCAUCAGUACCACAUCACAAUCAACAUAAUCAGCAUAUGUAGAGAUACUAAAAUGCACACGAACAGUACGUGUUACCUUAACCUUGCCGCUGUUGUUGAACCAUUGGAUGUAGUAAGGAUGUGGAUGUGGUCUUGUGGUGAGAGAAAGCUUCUCCACCAUCUCCAUGCUAGCCAAGUUGUUGCAGCUCCCUCCGUCUAUUAUGACGCGCACAGAACGUUCCUUCACAACUCCCUUGGUAUGGAACAAAUUGUGCCUCUGAUUUUGCUCAGCUUGUGUGACCUGCACACUCAAAACACGUUGAGCAACUAAACAUUCAUACAUGUCAGCGUCUUCAGGAGCCAUGUAUUGCGUCUCAUGAUCAGAAUCAUCUCCACCAUGUUCUUCACGUGUAAUAAGAGCCAAUGUCUCCUCAUCAUAGUCACUAGCGGACUCAUAUCCACCAUCUGCAGUAGCAAUCAUCACACGCGGAGAUUUGCAUUCCCUCGCAUAAUGACCUCCUCCCUUACAACGACGACAAAUAAUAUCACUUGUGUGCCCUGUUGAUGCCAUGGAAGAAGAAGAACGCUGUGCAGGCCCCGCAGGUGUGCUCUUGGUAGAUAAUGGUGGUUGUGCCUGUUUUCUUGUAUCACGGCUGGAGGUGGCACCGGAUGGAGGUGCUGGUGCAGUUGAAGUAGAAGAUGCACGUGGUGUCCAUGAUGAAGGUCGGCCUGCAGAAAAGUUAGUUCGCCCUAAUGCUUGUCGAUCCUGCACUUCACGUUCAGCUUUACAAGCAAGAUGGAAUAAACGAGUGAUAUUAGUAUACUCCUUAUAGUCUAGAAUGGUCUGAAUCUCUCUAUUUAAUCCACCCAGAAAACGUGCAAGCAUAGCUUCAUUCUCCUCAACAAUACCACAUCUAAUCAUGCCAGUUUGUAAUUCCUGAUAAUAUUCUUCUACAGAAUUUUUUCCUUGUCUUAAACGCUGCAAUUUUUGAAGCAAUUCACGUUGAUAAUAUGGUGGAACCCAACGCGUACGCAUAGCAGUUUCCAAAGCAGCCCAAGUAGUUGGAAUAGGAUAUAAUCUACAAUGUUCAGACCACCAUACACAUGCAAAACUAGUGAAAGCACAAACAGCAGCAACAACUCGUCUCUCCUCAGGAUAUUGUAAACAUGUAAAUCGUUGUUCAGUUUCUAACUCCCAAGUAAGAUAUAUAUCAGGAACAUAUCUACCCUCAAAUGGUGGAAUAUUCAAUUUCAGUUUAGGAAUAUGGACAUCAUCUCGUACCUGAGGUGGUGGUGGUGCAGGCCUACCAUUACGAAUAUAUACCUGAGGUCGACCUGCUGGUGGUGGUGCUGGUGGCUGCUCGUAGAUCUGAUUUUGAUCAACCUCAUCCUCAUAAUCGCCCGCAUACUCAUCAUCCUCCUGGGUACCAGCAACAGCAGUAGCAGGAGCCACAGAAGUAUCAACAGCAGCACCAACAGUUUGGCCAAAUGCAAGAGGAACACGGCUCGCUCGGCGAAGGUCUGCUUCGCGACGUGGAGGUAGUCGUUGUUGUUGUUGUUGGAGAGGUGCGUUAGGUGCAGCGGGUGGUGGUGGUGGAAGACGCGCGAGCAAUUCAUUAAAUCUGUUAUCGAGCUUUGUUUCGAACGUCUUCUCAAGGCCAGUGAUCUUCUCCAUGGCCUCUUCAAAAUUGUUCAGCACAUCUUGCACCUGUUCAGUCAUCAUUUGCUGAAACUUAUCAUGAAGCUCCUUGUUCGAUAAAUUCUCCCAGUCAAUCUCGUCGGCUUGUGAUCCUGGCAUGGUUAGCAGCAAUAGAAACACACAAGAAUAUGAUCCUACAGACUAUGAACAAGUGGUGGUGGUGGGUGUCACAAAUCCGUCAAGCAAAACUCAAAUUCUUACCAGUUCUUACCCAGCAGCAGGCGGUGAUCGGCAACCGUUGUAGUCAAAAACUCUCAAAGCUUGGAUAGAGCGAUUACCAGGGAGAGUCAAACACACGACGUAGAUGUAUGUGGAGCUGGGAAGUGAUGAGGACAUCAAUACAAUUGUUACACCCACAGCCCCUGCUGCUAGACAUACUGGACCAAUUACUAGAGCUCGUGCACGCCAACUAAAUUACCAGGUACUUUCGUUUCUUGGUAAUGAUUCUAAUGUUCAUGAGAAUAUGAUGCUGCCUAAAUUGGAUACAUUUGUUUUGCUUACAAAUGAAGGGUCUAGCUUGGAGAAGGAUGAACAUUGGAGCAAGAACAAGCAUGGAGAUGAUGGCAUGCACAAGGGGAACAAGAACGGAGUUACAAGUGAUGAUUUCAGGACUUUGAAGCCACCAUAAUGGGUGCAUGAAGCCUUGGACGAAAUAUACAAGAUGCCACUUCAUAAAUUUCGUCCCGAGGCUAUUUUAGGUGCUGCGUCACCUUAUUAUUGGGCCAGGCCCAUGUAAUUUCGAAAUACAUAAGUAUGGGCUAUUUUUAGAGUCCGUAUGUGUGGGGAAACAAGAGAUAGGGUUGAUUUCGGACCCCUCCACCAAGGGCCACGAAAUUCCCCCCUCUUCCUCCAUAUAUACAGCCCUUAGGGCAUCGUUUAGACUUUGGGUUUUGUUUAGAUUAAAAGUUCGCCAUAGCUGCAACUUCGCGUACUUCGUUUGUGUUCAACGACCAGACAAAGGCGUCACAGAACCCCACCUUGAUCAAUAAAGCUUUCAUCUUAUAUUCGCAAUAUCCAGAUUGCAAUCUUAGUUUCUUGCUUGUUCUUCGUUUGCUCGCAGGAAACAGACCCUCGUGGUCAGGUUGAUCGUGCUCCGGCGUGGUCAAUAACCUCUCGGAGUUGGUUUAGCGAUUGCUAAGGCGCGACGUCCUCGCACGUUCGUAGUCGGAUCGUCAAAGUCGACUUCCACCAAAGCGAAAUCCACCAUCUCAUCGAAAGACGGGACACCUCCGCCUCUAUCAUGUGCCCUGUUGAUGCUAUGGAAGAAGAAGAACGCUGUGUAGGCCCCGCAGGUGCGCUCUUGGCAGAUAAUGGUGGUUGUGCCUGUUUUCUUGUAUCACGGCUGGAGGUGGCACCUGAUGGAAGUGCUGGUGCAGUUGAAGUAGAAGAUGCACGUGGUGUCCAUGAUGAAGGUCGGCCUGCAGAAAAGUUAGUUCGCCCCAAUGCUUGUCGAUCCUGCACUUCACGUUCAGCUUUACAAGCAAGAUGGAAUAAACGAGUGAUAUUAGUAUACUCCUUAUAGUCUAGAAUGGUCUGAAUCUCUCUAUUUAAUCCACCCAGAAAACGUGCAAGCAUAGCUUCAUUCUCCUCAACAAUACCACAUCUAAUCAUGCCAGUUUGUAAUUCCUGAUAAUAUUCUUCUACAGAAUUUUUUCCUUGUCUUAAACGCUGCAAUUUUUGAAGCAAUUCACAUUGAUAAUAUGGUGGAACCCAACGCGUACGCAUAGCAGUUUUCAAAGCAGCCCAAGUAGUUGGAAUAGGAUAUAAUCUACAAUGUUCAGACCACCAUACACAUGCAAAACUAGUGAAAGCACAAACGGCAGCAGCAACUCGUCUCUCCUCAGGAUAUUGUAAACAUGUAAAUCGUUGUUCAGUUUCUAACUCCCAAGUAAGAUAUAUAUCAGGAACAUAUCUACCCUCAAAUGGUGGAAUAUUCAAUUUCAGUUUAGGAAUAUGGACAUCAUCUCGUACCUGAGGUGGUGGUGCAGGCCUACCAUUACGAAUAUAUACCUGAGGUCGACCUGCUGGUGGUGGUACAGGUGGCUGCACGUAGUGUUGAUUUUGAUCAACCUCAUCCUCAUAAUCUCCCACAUAAUCAUCCUCCUCCGCAUCAGCAGCAGGAGCCACAGAAGUAUCAACAGCAGCACCAACAGUUUGGCCAAACGCGAGAGGAACACGGCUUGCUCGGCGGAGGUCUGCUUCGCGACGUGGAGGUAGUCGUUGUUGUUGUUGUUGGAGAGGUGCGUUAGGUGCAGCGGGUGGUGGUGGUGGAAGACGCGCGAGCAAUUCAUUAAAGUUGUUAUCGAGCUUUGUUUCGAACGUCUUCUCAAGGCCAGUGAUCUUCUCCAUGGCCUCUUCAAAAUUGUUCAGCACAUCUUGCACCUGUUCAGUCAUCAUUUGCUGAAACUUAUCAUGAAGCUCCUUGUUCGAUAAAUUCUCCCAGUCAAUCUCGUCGGCUUGUGAUCCUGGCAUGGUUAGCAGCAAUAGAAACACACAAGAAUAUGAUCCUACAGACUACGAACAAGUGGUGGUGGUGGGUGUCACAAAUCCGUCAAGCAAAUCUCAAAUUCUUACCAGUUCUUACCCAGCAGCAGGCGGUGAUCGGCAACCGUUGUAGUCAAAAACUCUCAAAGCUUGGAUAGAGCGAUUACCAGGGAGAGUCAAACGCACGACGUAGAUGUAUGUGGAGCUGGGAAGGCUUAUAAUAUGGUAGCAAAAAGGGUCAGCAAUAAUGAUAGAGGCAAAGGUGUCCCGUCUUUCGAUGAGAUGAUGGAUUUCGCUUUGGUGGAAGUCGACUUUGACGAUCCGACUACGAACGUGCGAGGACGUCGCGCCUUAGCAAUCGCUAAACCAACUCCGAGAGGUUAUUGACCACGCCGGAGCACGAUCAACCUGACCACGAGGGUCUGUUUCCUGCGAGCAAACGAAGAACAAGCAAGAAACUGAGAUUGCAAUCUGGAUAUUGCGAAUAUAAGAUGAAAGCUUUAUUGAUCAAGGUGGGGUUCUGUGACGCCUUUGUCUGGUCGUUGAACACAAACGAAGUACGCGAAGUUGCAGCUAUGGCGAACUUUUAAUCUAAACAAAACCCAAAGUCUAAACGAUGCCCUAAGGGCUGUAUAUAUGGAGGAAGAGGGGGGAAAUUUCGUGGCCCUUGGUGGAGGGGUCCGAAAUCAACCCUAUCUCUUGUUUCCCCACACAUACGGACUCUAAAAAUAGCCUAUACUUAUGUAUUUCGAAAUUACAUGGGCCUGGCCCAAUAAUAAGGUGACGCAGCACCUAAAAUAGCCUCGGAACGAAAUUUAUGAAGUGGCAUCUUGUAUAUUUCGUCCAAGGCUUCAUGCACCCAUUAUGGUGGCUUCAAAGUCCUGAAAUCAUCACUUGUAACUCCGUUCUUGUUCUUGCUCCAAUGUUCAUCCUUCUCCAAGCUAGGCCCUUCAUUUGUAAGCAAAACAAAUGUAUCCAAUUUAGGCAGCAUCAUAUUCUCAUGAACAUUAGAAUCAUUACCAAGAAACGAAAGUACCUGGUAGUUUAGUUGGCGUGCACGAGCUCUAGUAAUUGGUCCAGUAUGUAUAGCAGCAGGGGCUGUGGGUGUAACAAUUGUAUUGAUGUCCUCAUCAUGGUGCAUUCAAAUUGACAAGGCAUUCAUCAUUCUCAUGUAGAGAUGGAAGAUCAGUACCUUUGUCAUUACCUCUUAUGAUCAACUUAGAUGAUGUAGCCACUCUCGGGGGCGAUGUGUCACAUGGUGGAGGUGAUGUAGUCCUGACAACAACGGAUGUGGUUGUCAUAGUAUGCCUAGUAGUUGAAGGAACAAUCAUAUCAACUCUUGGAAUGUGCACUGUGCGCUUGUUCUCCUCGUGGCCAACACGUCGUUUUAUUUCCUGUUCAGCUUUGCAAGCAAGAUGAAACAAAUGGUCCAUAGGAUAACACUCUUCAUGAAUUAGUAUCUCUUGAAUAUCACGGUUUAAUCCUCCCCAAAAUCUAUCCAUAAAAUCAUCUUCACUUUCUUCUAAAGAGGAAUGCAACAAGGUAGUUUGUAGAUCAUCAUAAUAUUUUGUUACAGUUUCACUACCUUGUUUUAAGUGUUGCAACUUCUUAAUCAUGUCACGAGUAUAAUAAGCAGGGACGAAAGUAUGUCGCAUGGCAAGUUUCAAAUCAUCCCAAGUAGUAGGUAUAUAAUCAGGGUGUAACCGACAAUAUUCACUCCACCAAACCAAAGCAUAACCAGUGAAAGAACCAACCGCAACCUUAACCUUUUUAUGUUCAUCGAAAUUAUGGGAAGCAAAUAUAUUUUUUAUGUCGAACUCCCAUUCUAUAUAUAAAGCAGGUUUAAAACGACCAUUAAAUGGUGGUGUAGAUACAUUAACCUGAUCAUGUGCAUUUGGAUGUUUGUGCACCUCUCGUGACGGUUGUGGUAUUUGCAAAGGUGGUGGCACGUCUCCCGCGAUCGACAAAGCCCAUGAAUUGACUCUGGAUCCUGUCAUGAUUAGUAGAACAAGAAACAAAACCCAAAAAUAUGUUCCUAUAACUACUAGGAUGUGGUGGUAAAACGCUCACAGUAAAGCAAAUAUCAAUGUCUUACAAGUUCUUACCAUGCAGCAGGCGGUGAUCGGCAACCAGCGGUGUCAAGUAACUCCGAAUAUUGAGUAAAGCGAUUGCCAGGGGAGCGUACGUAUACACGGUGUAGAAAUAUGUGGAGCUGGGUUGGCUAUAUAUGGUAGCAAAAGAUUAGCAAUAAUCAAUUCAAAGAUGCAAUGUUGAAUAAACGUUCAACGACGGUACUCUGCUGGUCCUAGGCUAGACCGUACUAGAGACGCGAGCCUAGAACACUAAUGAGGUCACGACGUAGCACAACUAGCAUCAAUGAAGGAUACUAAGUAGCUCUUGACAGUAAGAUAUAAGUGAAGAUCACAACGGCAGUGAAGAUAAUUAUGAAAAACAACUGCCAAGGAGGAUAUACAACAACUCUCUCUCCAACUUUCCUCUUGAAAAGUUUGAGACAAUUUUUUGAUAAAUUCUUUCAAGGAAUGCUACUAACUCAAGCUUUCCAAUGCAAAAAGAAUCACUCAAUUCCGAGUUGAUAUGAGGAGUCAAAGAAUUCUAAAACUAGCCUGAAAAAUUGGAACAAGUUGUGUUCACAAACUUCGGAGGGCAAAAAGACCUAAUUAGAAGCCGAUUUUGAGGUGUCAAAUAUUGAACUAGCUUCUGCAACUAUCUAGAUGCGGCUCGUCGCUAUCUUCAAUUUGAGUACUCAAGGAGCCAAAACUGACUUCGUAUGAGGAAGAUACACCUGUUUUACUGAACAGUGCGCAAAACAGAUUCCAAUCCGAAUUCAGGUACGAGAUUGAUUCUAGAUAGAUCCAAUUUUUUUUCUCUCCUUUUUUUUCUCACGCUUUUAUUUCUUUUUCUUCUCUCUCUUUUUCUUUUUUUUCUUUCCUUUUUUCUCUUUUUUUUCUCUCUCUUUUUUUUUCUCCCUCUUUCCAAGACAAACUAGAUAAGAUGCGGAUUGGAUCAGGCGAAGAUGUGAAUGACCUCAACUAUGAUUAUGACAAUGAACAGUGCGUAGCACAUGGUGGAAAUUAAUAGAUGGGAUGGUGGACGGCGGAAGGGAUAAUGAUGCAGCGGCGGCGUGACUAAUGUGAACAGAACUCGAAACUCUAAAAGAACUAGACACUAAGACCAGCAACUGACACGACGAUGCAACCGAUAAUUCAACUAUGCAAGCAACGAAUAGAAAAUUGCAAAGGCUCAGACUGGCUUGGAUAAAGGAUGAACAGAUCUAACUUUUUUUUUGUGGCUUUUUCUUGGACAAUAGGUAAGAAAAAAAUUUAAUCUAGGAAAAACUGGAAAUUCUCACCGAGCAACCUGAAAACUGAUACCACUUGAUAAAGGCGAGGGUGUCCCGAUCUUUCGAUGAGAUGAUAACUAUUGAUUUGGUGGAGACGACUUUGACGAUCCGACUACAAACGUGCACGACGUUGCGCCUUAGCAAUCGCUAAACCAACUCCGAGAGGUUAUUGACCACGCUGGAGCACGAUCAACCUGACCACGAAGGUCUAUUCCUGCAAGCAAUCGAAGAACAAGCAAGAAUAUGAUAAAGCAAUCUGAAUAUUGCGAAUAUAUAUGAAUUAUUGAUAAUGGUGGGGAUCCGUAAGCGGUCUUGGUCUGGUCGUUGGACACAAACGAAGUACACGAAGUUGCAAUGGCUAACUUUUAACUAAACAAAUCCCAAGGAAAAGCUACUAGAUGGAUCUACUUAUAUAGGAGCAAGGGGUGGCGGCCAAGGAGGUGGGAGGACGUCCCAAGGCAGCCUAAAACUAAAUCUAGGUCAUACAAGGCCAAUGGGCCCAAGUGGAGGUGAUGUAACACCUUUGGACUUGUAGUUUAACUCGGAUUCUGCUGCAGCAUCAGAUUGUUUCGUCCACAACUCAACGCUCCGGACGAAUUUGAAGGUGAUUCCAAUUGGGUUGGAAAGUGCACGAAAUCUAGUUUCCAACAAAAAAAGCAUCACCCAAUUUGGAGUCCGUAUGAAAAACUUGUGUGCAUUUUGAGUCAGGUGUGUCUGUGCAGUCCGAAUCUGAAUCCAAAACGUGAGAGACUUGGACUCUAUCUUCUCUUGGGCCAAAAGUGACGUGAGAGAACUUUUUGGACAGCAGAUAAACAUCUCUUUCUUCCUUAUCUUCAUAUGUGGAUUGUGCAAAUGUCCCAUACACCUGCAAUUAGACAAAACACAAAAGUGUGUGAAGUAUUUUUGUUCUGGAUAACAUAAAUAGAUUAUUGAAUAGUUUGCACUAGAAAUCACCUGACAAAUAUGCAUAUAUGCAAUAUUUUUGGUCAUAUCCAAGGUAGUCAUGUCCUCAUCAGAAGGUCUGUUUCGCGAUGUGGAGGUAGUCGUUGUUGUUGUUGUUGGAGAGGUGCGUUAGAUGCAGCGGGUGGUGGUGGUGGAAGACGCGUGAGCAAGUCAUUAAACUUGUUAUCGAGCUUUGUUUCGAACGUCUUCUCAAGGCCAGUGAUCUUCUCCAUGGCCUCUUCAAAAUUGUUCAGCACAUCUUGCACCUGUUCAGUCAUCAUUUGCUGAAACUUAUCAUGAAGCUCCUUGUUUGAUAAAUUCUCCCAGUCAAUCUCGUCGGCUUGUGAUCCUGGCAUGGUUAGCAGCAAUAGAAACACACAAGAAUAUGAUCCUACAGACUACGAACAAGUGGUGGUGGUGGGUGUCACAAACCCGUCAAGCAAAACUCAAAUUCUUACCAGUUCUUACCCAGCAACAGGCGAUGAUCGGCAACCGUUGUAGUCAAAACUCUCAAAGCUUGGAUAGAGUGAUUACCAGGGAGAGUCAAAGGCACGACGUAGAUGUAUGUGGAGCUGGGAAGGCUUAUAAUUUGGUAGCAAAAAGGGUCAGCAAUAAUCAAUUCAGAGAUGCAAAGUUGAAUAAACGCUCAACGACGGUACUGUGCUGGUCCUAGGCUAGACUGUGCUAGAGACGCGAGCCUAGAGCACCAACAAAAUCACGGCGCGGCACGUAAACAAGGGAGGAGCACACUCUGAAUUUUUUUCUCUUUUUUUUUGCACUUUUUUUCCUCUUUUUUUUUUGCUCCGCAACAAAUUUUUUUCGAAAAAGUCUACAAAUGGUCUAAAAACUGCCUAGCCAGAAUUUUCCAGACUUAGUUUUUUUUUUGAAAUUGGAACUAUUUUUCUUCUGCGGAUGGCUCGGAAGUUGGCGAGUCCUUCUCUGUCACGACUCGGAGUAUCGCGUGAUCUGGAAAUCGAGAACAAUGCAACAAUUACUGGACUCGGACUAGGACUGGUGGCGGAGAUGAAUCUGGUGGAACUCGGACUGGUGGCGAAGAUGAAUCUGGUGGAACACGGACAGGUGGCGGAUAUAUGUUGCAGGUGAACUCGGAUUGGCGUGAUGGCGGCGGAUAUGUGGUGGCGUAUAUGGAUUCGGAUUGACGGUGAAUAUGUGGUGGUGGUAUAUGGCAACAGCGACGAUGAUGAUGCGGUGGUGAUAUAUGGCAGCGGCGACGUGACAACCUGUGAACAGAACUCGAAACUCUAAAAGACUAGACGCUAAGACCAGCAACUGGACAUGACGAUGCAACCGCAAAUUCAACAAAGCAAAUACAGAAAAGAUUAUGCAAGGCUCAGAUUGGUUCGGAUGGGAUGAACUAACCCUAAUUUUUUUUGGCUUUUUCGUGGACUAUAGGUAUGAAGAACAGACUCGAUCUAAACUACGAAAAACUGUAAAAUCUCACCGAGCAACCUGGAAAUCUGAUACCACUUGAUAGAGGCAAAGGUGUCCCGUCUUUCGAUGAGAUGAUGGAUAUCGCUUUGGUGGAAGUCGACUUUGAUGAUCCGACUACGAGCGUGCGAGGACGUCGCGCCUUAGCAAUCGCUAAACCAACUCCGAGAGGUUAUUGACCACGCCGGAGCACGAUCAACCUGACCACGAGGGUCUAUUUCCUGCGAGCAAACGAAGAACAAGCAAGAAACUAAGAUUGCAAUCUGGAUAUUGCGAAUAUAAGAUGAAAGCUUUAUUGAUCAAGGUGGGGUUCUGUGACGCCUUUGUCUGGUCGUUGAACACAAACGAAGUACGCGAAGUUGCAGCUAUGGCGAACUUUUAAUCUAAAC